UGGCUGCCGCGGUGGAAGGUGAGGAAGAUCUCACUGAGCACCCUCCCCACGAUCUUGCUGCGCUGGAGGAGGAGGUCCAUGGCGAGCUUGCGCCCCGACAGUAGGCCCCACCGCAGCAUGUCCAGCAUGUCGCUUACCACCCGCCACAGCUGCCAUGCCACGCCUGGUUCUGCCACCGCCACCAUGCCCUGCUGCUGCAGCUACUGCUGCUUCCUGGUAGCCAUUCCUUGCUUCUGCUCUUCUCUCCCUCCGUCUCUCUGCUCCGACUUCAUCAGCAAGUACUUGAAGCUGAGCCCUUGAUUUGAUCCACGGCAAGCAUUGGUAAGCACUAGAAACAUCCGCUCGAUUUGAUUUGAUUCAAUUCACAAGAAGCUGAGAAGACGAUCACCAACAAUGCCUUCGUCAGUCCUUGAGAACAUGACUCCAGCACAACAAGGGGAGGAUACUAGGAAUCGGCCAAUCCAAUCACCUAUUCGCGACUCAGCCAAUCGGAACCAAGCACAUGGCAUGGUCAUAUCAUCAAGAAAAUAUCCAUUUGGUAGUGAGAAAAGAAGACGAGAAUGUGUUUAUAGAGCACAGUGAGGAGCCAAAUACAUAUCAGUUCACAAUCAAAGGAAGUUAUUUGGGGACAAACCAGCUUUUGGCCAUUCAAUUACCAUCUGUGAGACAGCGAGAGCAUCAAUGCGGUAGACGAAAACCUUUGAGAUAUUAGGCACACUGGUUGACUGUGUCUCAUUGGCAUCAUCUGGGGGAGGCCAUUUCCUUGGUCAGUGCCAACUCUGGUAUCAUGCUUAUUUAUUCUUUAGCAUUGUUAUGUUUGAGGGUAAUUAUGAAGAUGAAGAAAACCCUCAUGAUCUAAGUAUUGAAUCAAAAUAAUUUCUACCAUAUAAGGUUGCCAUGUAUAUUUUCAACCAGCUGGGCAUAUGAGGUCUUGCUAUGUGUUCCUUCUUCAUCACAAUUCACAGGUAUUACUUUAGAAAAUAGUUGCAUGAACAAUGCUGGCUGUUUUGUUCCUCUAUUAAUUUGUGGAGUUAGUUUGGUGCAUCUCAUAGUUCGUUGAAAUGCAUCCGUGAAAAUUCUAUCUUUAUGUGUGUACAAUGCAAUUUGAUUAAUAUCUGUGAUUGCAUUAUUGUGUCUCAUUUUGUGCUCAUGCCCAAUGCACUUCCUGUUAGGGCAUUGUUAACACCUUUAGACUGUACUGUUUAGGCUCGGCUAUAAAUUAAAUUAUCCUUGUAAUGAUAAAUUGAAUAUAUUUUCCUUCAGAAGAAAUUGAGGGCUGCCAAUGUGCCACGAUCGGUGUGGAUCUACAUAAGGUAUCCUGACAUCUGAUUUUCUAGCUGAUCAAUUUAAUCCACUCAAAAUCCUGUGGUUCUCCUUGUUGAUCCAAUUUUCUGGCGUGCAUACGAUCCAAAGUUCUCUGGUUAAACUUUCUGGCUCAUCCAAAUGAGAUGCUAUGCAUUCUUUCAAAAUAUUCAGAUUAAAACUUUUUAGUGUAUUUGAAUUAGCAUAUGGUCAUGUUUAAUCUAUCAGAGUUGACUUCGUUUUGUAAAUGAAGCUAAAGGGUAGAGCAAUCCAUGUUGAAAGUAGUGUGCAUGAAAGUGUUCCGUCAGAAGACUUGUAGCGUCCAAUAGAAAUGAAUUCUGAUGUUUUGAUUCAAAUGUAUUUUAUCGAAGUCUUUUGUAUGGUUCGGCAAUAUCUUCUGGAUAUAUUCUAACAAGAUUUGGUCAAAAAGGACUACCUGGUAAUUCAUUUGCAAUAAUAAGAAAGUGAAGAAAUUUGGUCCAAUCAGUAAGAACCAGUACAGAAUAAUUAAUUAUAUGUGCAGGGAGGUGUAACUACAAGAAUACCUAUUUGUAAUUGAACCAUGUGGGUGCUGGAUCCAACACCAUAGGAACACAGUGAUGUCCUUGCGUGCUCUUCUCAACACACCAAUAUGAUAUCAAAGAUAUGGAAAUGUAGGUAGUUAGCUAUAUGAAUGUAAGGUUCUCAAUUUUGUAAUCUGAUUUGCAGUGAUAGGAUCAUUUUGUGGAGUUUGUGAAGAAUUUGGGAAUAUUUGAUUAAAUGUUCAACUAAUAGCUGAACAACCUGUAAUGUUACGGUAUUGGUUAUACAUUAGUGCACUUGCA